rnacentral:rRNA from 1 species
UACGUAGGGUGCAAGCGUUGUCCGGAAUUAUUGGGCGUAAAGAGCUCGUAGGCGGUUUGUUGCGUCGGCUGUGAAAUCCCGAGGCUCAACCUCGGGUCUGCAGUCGAUACGAGCAAACUAGAGUGUUGCAGGGGAGACUGGAAUUCCUGGUGAUAGCGGUGAAAUGCGCAGAUAUCAGGAGGAACACCGGUGGCGAAGGCGGGUCUCUGGGCAACAACUGACGCUGGAGGAAGCGAAAGCCGUGGGGAGCAAACAGG